GUAAUAUAUAGCGUGCUUGUGAUGACAAACCUUGUGCUAACAACGGGAAAUGCAUUACGAACGAUGACAGCAGUAAUUUUACAUGUGGCUGUACAAGACUUUUCACUGGCAAAACAUGCANAGAUCGUGUGCCAUGUGCAGAUGCCCUUGGGAUGGAAAAUGGUAAAAUUUUAGAUUCCCAGUUGUCUAUGUCUUCAUAUUAUAACAAAGAUUCCCGUUAUGGUGAGAAAAAUGGCAGGCUUAACAAGAAAGACUGGCCUCCAGGAGCACAGACUGAUAGCGCCGAUCAGUCGCCAUGGUUCAAGAUUGACCUUCUACAAAUCAAGUAUGUGUCUGGUGUUGGUAUUCAAGGAUACCACGAUGGACAGUCCUGGACGACAUCUUUCAUGGUAUCAACAUCUACUGAUGGUUCUUCCUGGACAAUGUACCAGGAAAUACCUGGCACCAAUAAGGUAGAUAAACAGCAACAAAUCACGUAAAUCUUAACGAAUUAGUCUCAUCUCAAAGCCGUUAGGACGUUGUUCGGUGGGAGUGACCUGGGA
rnacentral:misc_RNA from 1 species